rnacentral:rRNA from 1 species
ACAUGCCUACAGCAUAGUGUUAAUGCACAUGAUCCCAUUUGAACUAUGCAGUUAAGCGUGCUCGGGCUAGAUUAGUACUGAAAUGGGUGACCGCCCGAGAAGUCCUAGUAUUUUACAUGCC